UUGACGGGGACCCGCACAAGCAGCGAGCGUGUGGUUUAAUUCGUUGCUACACGAAGAACCUUACCUGGGUUUGACAUAUAGGUUGUAGGGAACUGAAAAGGGACCGACCCUUCGGGGAGCCUAUACAGGUGUUGCAUGGCUGUCGUCAGCUCGUGUCGUGAGAUGUUCGGUUAAGUCCGCUAACGAGCGCAACCCUCGUCGUAUGUUAUAUGUGUCAUACGAGACUGCCGGUAAAAGCCGGAGGAAGGUGAGGAUGAUGUCAAGUCAGCAUGACCUUUAUAUCCAGGGCUACACACACGCUACAAUGGUCUGUACAAUGGGUAGCCAAGCCGCGAGGCGGAGCCAAUCCUGAAAGCAGGCCUCAGUUCAGAUUGCAGUCUGCAACUCGACUGCAUGAAGCCGGAGUUGCUAGUAACCGCAGGUCAGCAAUACUGCGGUGAAUACGUUCCCGGGUCUU
rnacentral:rRNA from 1 species